AACGAACGCUGGCGGCGCGCCUAAUACAUGCAAGUCGAGCGAGAAGGUGUAGCAAUACACUUGUAAAGCGGCGAACGGGUGAGGAAUACAUGGGUAACCUACCCUCGAGUGGGGAAUAACUAGCCGAAAGGUUAGCUAAUACCGCAUACGAUUCCAGCACUUCGGUGCUGGAAGGAAAGCACUACCGUGGGUAGUGCGCUCCUGGAUGGGCUCAUGUCCUAUCAGCUGUUGGUGAGGUAAUGGCUCACCAAGGCUUCGACGGGUAGCUGGUCUGAGAGGACGAUCAGCCACACUGGCACUGCGACACGGGCCAGACUCCUACGGGAGGCAGCAGUAAGGAAUAUUGCGCAAUGGGCGACAGCCUGACGCAGCGACGCCGCGUGGGGGAUG
rnacentral:rRNA from 1 species